UAAGGAAAGCCAGAGCACAGUAUACUCCCUUUGAAAUUUACUGGGUUACACAGCAGUAUAAAUUUCUCACAGACUGCUUACAUUUUGGGGCAGAAAGUUGAGCAGUGUUACCAUUAAACCUCUUCAUGUAGCCAUCCAGCUGGACAACACUCACACACAGGACAGAAUGAUGAGGAGAUUUAGCACAGCAGCUUUUCUGUCUCCCGUUUUUAGAAUGCUGCGAUCACUCUGGAGUUUGGAGGUCAUGUGGCUACUCAUGCUAUAGUGACAGUAUCCUUUUCACCUGAGCCUUGUCAGCACCUUCUACUUGAGAAAUCUAAUGCAGCUGAAAUAAUAAAGCAUGAAGAUAAAUUUA